AGGGUGCUAACAUCGCCCGGCGCGCCGGCCACCCUCGGUGGAGGCAGCUCCCAGGCAGAGAGGCAGUGUUCGCACGGGUGGUUGGACCCGUAUUUCAGCCUCCCCCAACGCUCAUCACGUUUCUGGGGUCCUCUCUGCACACCCCAUCUUUGCAACUGUCGCCCUGUUGCAGAACCAGAAAACAAAGGCAGCGAGUACGGAAUGGUGACAUUCGAAAGCUGAGAUGGGUAGAUUGGAAGGCACGUUUGCAGAGUAAGAGGUUCUGAAAGGGAAUCCAUUAAGACUUUGUUAAUGGGAGGUAUCCCGGGAGUGAGCGUCCCUCACCUUCUGUACAAGGCUGCUCUGGCUUUGUGGAGCUCUGAGCGGCUGUUGUUACAAUGUGAAUCAAGUUUCAUUCUUCAGCAGCCCUUCGGCAACAGGAAAAACCCAACUUGCUCAGACAAGUUGUAUCAAAUGGCAAGAGUCCAAUCCCCUCGGACUUACUCAAUGCAACGUCUCUUAGCCAAGAAGUCAGUCAAUAAGACCGAAGGGAUUCUUCUCGACCAUAGCCUCCCUCUGCUCCUUGGAUGUCCCCGGAUGCCCUCAGAUAUCCGAUGAGUCGGAGGCUGGAUGUUUGAGAUGGCAGUCAUUGUUGCUGGAGCGGUGGUUAGUCGUCUGGGCUCGGUGACAACGGUCGAUCGGCAAUCAGUGAUAGUGUGGACGGCCGCCGGGGCAGUCAAGAGACAGAGCGACAUGGAGUCCUCUGGUCACAGUGCUGCUGACAGUUUGCUCCAAAAGUCCAGGGGAAGCUCAUGGUGCCAGAGGCGUGAUGAAUCCCAAGCACAUAAAGGAGUCGGGGUGGAUGAAGUGAGACCUAAGGCCACACCUGACUCCUGGGAGCCAGUCUUACCAUGGUCGCCAGUGCUGUUUAUUUGAAUACAUGCCUCACCCUCUUAGGCCUGCCAAUGUUCCCCACCUCCUGGUAUUCUUGAACUUGAACCUCCCUUGAGUGUGCAUUGAAUAUAUCGACCCACUUCUAACAAAUGGAACAGACCAGAAGUUAUAGGAUGGCUUCGUGUUCUGUGUGGCUAUCACAGAACGCCUGAGAUUGGGGAGAUUAAAAAGGACAGAAAUGGAGAGGCUGGAGUUGUGGCUCAGUGGUAGAGCGCUUGCCUAGCAUGUGUGAGGCACUGGGUUUGAUUCUCAGCACCACAUCUAAAUAAAAGAAUAAAAUAAAAGAAUAAAAUAAAAUACAACAACAACAAAAACAGAAAUGGAUUCAGUUCUGGCGGCCAGGAAGUCCGAGAUCAACAUGCCAGCAGCUGACAAGGGCUUUUGGGCUGAGUCCUCACAUGGCAAAAGAGAAGGGGAGGAAGAACGCACUCCUACAAGCCCUUAAAUAGAAAUAUUCACCUACUCAUGAGAGCAGAACCCUCAUGACCAAAGCUCCCCAAAUGCUGCCUCCCAAUGCAGCUCAAAUCUCCAACAAAGGAAUCCAGGGGACUCGUUUGGACCACAGCAUAGAAUGUCUUAUAUAUGACCUAUAUUAGCCGGAAGUGGUGGCAUAUCCUGUAAUCCCAGUGGUUAGGGAGACCAAGGAAGGAGGAUUGUGAGUUCAAAGCCAGCCUCCGCAACUUAGUGAGGCCCUAAGCAACUCAGUGAGACCCUGUCUCUAAAUAAAAUACAAAAUAGGGCUGGAGAUGUGGUUCAGUGGUUAAGCACCCCUGAGUUAUCUUUGGUCUUCUUUCUGUCUCACAUUGCUUACCCUGGAGGGAGCUGCUGCCAUAUCAUGAGCAGCCUGUGGCGAGGCCCAUGUGAUGAGGAACCGCCACCUGCUCACAGCCACAGCAGCAAGAUUUUCCUUCCCACUGAGCCUUCAGAUGAGACUGAAGCCCUAGCUCACAGCUUGCCUGCAGUCUCACGUAGGAUCUUUAGCCAGAGGUGGCACAAAGCCACGCCUAGAUUCCAGGAUCAUGAAAAACGUAAGGUAACAGAGGCUUUGUUGCUUUAAGCUACUACAUUGUGGGACAACUUGUUACACUGCAAUAAAUAGCCAAUACACUGCUUUUACUUGGGUGAGAAGUGUCUGGCAAUGUGUGAAGCCAGAAGCAGAUGGGGAGAUGCACUGGUCAGUUCUCUGCUUAAGGAUGGACUCACUGCCCAGCUGCAGGGGGUUCAGCAGACAGACAGCCUUGAGGGUCCAACCUGACUUGUGAGCUGGGUCCAUGCUUCUCAUGGGGCCAAGCCAAGUGCCAAGCAAGGUGAUGACACAGGUCUCACCAUCUCUGCCCAAGUCGAACCUUCUAAUGGGCAGGCAGCCUUUGCCUCAGAGCUCCCCAUUGGGCUGGCAACAACUUUAACAAGUCUUUAAUGGGGUCUUCCCCUUCCAGGGGUUUGCUCUCCAAUAAGCCUUUCCCAUUUCCACUUCAUGUCAGCCCCUGUUUCUCAGAGAAUCUAUUCUGCAACCAAAGACAACAUAGUCUGCAGAGAAACCUAAGCUUUCCAAUCAACCCAGACCAGGGUCCAAAUAUAGACUCCGCCCCUUGCUGGCUCUGUGACCCUAAGGAAGUUACUUAACUUCUCUGAACCUUGUUUUUCUCACAUGUAAACUGGAUAACAAAUAAUGUGGGGACUGAACUGGGAUAUUUAACACAAUGCCCAGCACGUAGUAAGUGCUAGGAAAAGGAUGGCCAUUGUCUAUCCACAGACUACACACCCACUAGCUCCUUCAUAUUCUGCCUAAGGUUUUAUUGGAAAUAAGUUCAAUACCUUGUCUGCUAUAUUUAUAGUAGACUUUUGACAUUCAUGAGGCUUAGUCCCACAACCUUCAUGAAACCCCAAAUACAACCACAGCAUAUGUUUACCCAUGAAAUAAAGUACAACCCAAAAUUAUAUGACUCCUUAUGUCCUUAA